rnacentral:rRNA from 1 species
UCCUAAAUGUAAAUAAAUAUUAAAAUUUACCAGAGUAUUACGAACUGAUGGUUUAAAAUUCAAAGAACUUGGCGGUGUUUUAGACUUUUUAGGGGAACCUGUCUCAUAAUCGACAAUCCACGUUAUACCUAACCUUUAUUUGUUAGACAGUUUGUAUACCGUCGUCGUCAGGCAACCUUUAAGAGAUUAAGGAGUUGGCGAUAAUAAAUUAUUUUAAUUUAUACGUCAGAUCAAGGUGCAGCUUAUAUAAAGGUGAAGAUGGGUUACAAUUAUAUAAAUCAUAAUUACGAAUAAAUUAGUUGAAAUAUAUUUGAAAGGAGGACUUGAAAGUAAAGAUAUUAAGUAGUUAAAUAACUUGAAUGAGGCUCUGAAACGUGU